GGGUACCGCUGUGCCCGGCCUGGCCGCGGCCUAGUCCCGGCAGACGGGACUGACGAGGUCACCAAGCCCAGGCCGAGACGGCGCGGGUGUCAGGGACUUGGGAAUCCCCCUCCCCCAGUCCCGAUCCCGCUUUCCUUUGGGGUUUCACCUCAGAGGACCCGACAUCACUCUUGCAGAACAGCCGUCUACCUGUCUUCCUGGCUCACUCCCUGCAGGAAUGGUCUGGGGCAACCCCAGCAACACGCCCACCUGUGGCCAGGAUGAAUAGGAAUCCAGUUCAGGCUUGGCUUCCAUGGCAAUCAAGGCCCACCAGGCCCCAGCAACCUUCCCUACCCCCCAUUCCUUUUUGCUGCCCCCCUCCACACCAGGCAUGUUCCCUGCCACACCAUGCUGUUCCCCUCACCUGGGCUGCCCUCCCAACUCCUCUCUGCCUCUGGAGAUGCUCUGCCAUUCAAGACUUGGCUCAGGCUCCAGGUCCUCCCUGGGCCUUCUAGAGCCCCUGGUUCUCACUCCUCUGAACACUUCCAGCCUGGCUAAUAGCCCACUGCAUCCUGGCCUGGGGUACAGGUGGCCAGCACAGGUGUGGGGGCCAGCUUCCAACACAAGCACGGGUAGGUCCCUCUGCAGACCAUGGGCUGCGAGAGGCCCGGCCUUGCCCACUGCAGGGGCCCUGCGCAGGGCUGGGCACGAAGCAGGUGGGUGUCCACCAAUCUAGUAUCCAAAACCCUGCUUGGUUCACCCCCACCUCUGUUGAAGGAAAGCAACACUGUGAUGGAGAGGAGCAGCUGUGGAUUCAAAUCCUGGCUUGGCCACUUUCUAGUUGUGUGACUUGGUGCAUCUGCCCUCAACUCCUCAGAGACAAAAAUGGCAACACCUCCCUUCUUGGGUUACUAUGAGGAUUAAAUAACAAAACCUCCAAGAAGC
rnacentral:lncRNA from 1 species